GAGGGUGAUCGGCCACAUUGGAACUGAGACACGGUCCAAACUCCUACGGGAGGCAGCAGUGGGGAAUAUUGCACAAUGGGCGAAAGCCUGAUGCAGCAACGCCGCGCGAGUGAUGAAGGCCUUCGGGUCGUAAAACUCUGUCCUCAAGGAAGAUAAUGACGGUACUUGAGGAGGAAGCCCCGGCUAACUACGUGCCAGCAGCCGCGGUAAUACGUAGGGGGCUAGCG
rnacentral:rRNA from 1 species